rnacentral:lncRNA from 1 species
GCAGAGGCUGCAGGGAGCCAAGAUCACAGUUCUGCACUCCAACCUGGGCAACAGAGCAAGACUCCGCCAAAAAAAAAAAAAGUUGCAGUGGUCAGAUCAUCUGCAGCACUUACCUAGUGGGCAGUGGGCCUGGGUAGAGGUCGGAGCAGCCCCUGGUGCCAGAAAUGGCCAUCAAGGCCCCACUGUGUGCCUGGCCUUGGACAGCCCUGCUGUCCCCUGACUCCCCAUUACCCUCUCAGCUCAGUACUUCCAGCCUCCUUACUCUUGGCUUCUCAAGCCUCCAACACAGCAGGCUUGUUCCCUCCACCAAGAACGCUGUCCUGCCGGACACGGUGGCUCACGCCUGUAAUCCCAGCACUUUGGGAGGCCAAGGUGGUCGGAUCACCUGAGCUCAGGAAUUCAACACCAGCCUGGGCAACAUGGUGAAACCCUGUCUCCACUAAAAAUACAAAAAAUUAGCCAGGUGUGGCGGCAAGUGCUCGUAGUCCUAGCUACUUGGGAGGCUGAGGCAGGAGAAUCACUUGAACCCGGGAGGCAGAGGUUGCAGUGAGCCACUGCACUCCAACCUGGGCAACAGAGUAAGACUCCGUCUCAAAAAAAAAAAAAAACCAUCCUCCCAGAUCACAAGUCUUAGGUGCAUGCAGGUCCCCACAGAGGUCCUCAGCUCUGUGUAGUCAGGGCUGGCUGGGCAGGCUGGAGGGGGCUAGGCUCUGCCCAGAGGUGGGAGAUGGAAUGUAUCUUUCUGGAUGCAUAGGAGCUCUCCACACAGACAAGGGACAGAAAAGUCAAAUAAAUCACACGUGCAAAAGUCUGGAAGUCAUACCACUUCCUGUUCAAUGGAGGGUAAAAGGUGCCAGGAAUAACUAGGUACAGGCGAGGCACCAUGGCUCAUGCCUAUCUAUGAUCGCAGGACUUGGGAGGCCACAAUGGAAGGAUCUUUUGAAUCCAGCAGUUUGAGACCAGCCUGGGCAAGAAAGCAAGACUUUGUCUCUACAGAAAAAGUUUAAAAUUAGGGCGUGAUGGCAUGUGCCUGUGGUCCCAGCUUCUUGGGAAGCCGAGUUGGAAGAAUCCCUUGAGGUUGAGUUGGAUGUUGCAGUGAGUAGGUUGCAGUGAGCCCUAACUGUGCCAUUGGCACUGCAGCCUGGGCGACGGAGCGAGACCCUGUCUCAAAAAAAUAAACUGGGUACAGCUGAAGUUGACAUAAAAACUAACCAAUAUAUGGUGGGCACUAGCUUAGUUUGGAGGUCCCCCAAGAACCAACCCUGAGACAGUGACUGUAGGAAAUGUGGGAUAUCUGGGAGAGACCUUUGGUGAGGGUUAAGGAAAGGAGAGGAAGGUAAGGCAUCCUGCAGGGGGCACCAAUGUGCAGAGUCCCCCACGUGGGAGGAGAAAGGCACUGGCACUACUGGGCACCAGGCCUUGGCCAAACAGGUGGCAGCAGCCCCUCACUGAGCCCUGGGGACAGCCCCUAUGAGAUAUUGAUCCUCUUUGUAUAUAAGAAAACUAAGGCUGGGCACGGUGGCUCAUGCCUGUAAUCCCAACACUUGGGAGGCUGAGGUGGGUGGAUCACCUGAGGUUGGGAGUUCAAGAGCAGCCUGACCAACAUGGAGAAACCCUACUAGAGAUUUAAUAAAUCUCUAUUAAAAAUAUAAAAUUAGCCAGGCGUGGUGGUGCAUGCCUGUAAUCCCAGCUACUCGGGAGCCUGAAGCAGGAGAAUCGCUUGAACUCGGGAGGCAGAGGUUGCAGUGAGCCGAGAUCACGCCACUGUACUCCAGCCUGGGCAACAGAGAGAGACUCCAUCUCAAAAAAAAAAAAAAAAAAAAA